rnacentral:rRNA from 1 species
ANCUAGGNNUCCNUCAGUAACGGCGAGUGAAGCGGGAAAAGCUCAGACUGAAAACCUUCGGGGAUGUGGUCUGGAGAUGGGAUAUCGAAUCUUUGGAAGCCGAUAAAGUGGUCUGGAAUGACACGCCGUGGAGGGUGACAGCCCCGUUCGUAUCGGUGAAAGAGGAAAGUAGAUGCCUAUCAAUGAGUCGAGUUGUUUGGGAUUGCAGCUCAAAGCGGGUGGUAAAUUCCAUCUAAAGCUAAAUAUGGAUAGGAGACCGAUAGCAAACAAGUACCGUGAGGGAAAGAUGAAAAGCACUUUGAAAAGAGAGUGAAAUAGUACGUGAAAUUGCUGAAAAGGAACCGCUGGGAAGCAGUGUGCACGGAGUAGACUUGUCUACGACAUGCAGGUGAGGCUUGCUUCGAUGGUGAGGGAGAAGGCGUGCUUGCACUGUCCUACCGAUCCUCGGAGUG